rnacentral:lncRNA from 1 species
CAACCAGGUCUAGAACCCAAACCUUCAACCCCUGAGCUUUCCUGCCUUCGAGUCCUCGGAGCUCUCCUGGAGGCUGAGCAGGCAACAGAGCCUGCUCCUCAGCUGGAUGUGGCCCGUGGGAGGUGGAGAAACUGAGGCUCAGAUAAAUGACUAAGAAGUAAAGUGAGGUCCCAUAGCCAGUGAAUGGCAGAGCAGGGAUUCGAACCCAGGUCUCUCAUCUGGGAAGUGGGAUGAUAGCGCCAACCUAGCUGGAUUGCUGUGACUGCCAGCACAAUGCCUUCUAAGGGUUCAAGAUGAGAUUACUUAGUCCCAGAUGGGUUAAGUAACUGGCCCAAGGUCACAGCGCUGGUAAGCAACUGGGCUUCAAUCCAACCAUCCUGACUCCAGAAGCCUCUUUGAACUACCACCUUCUGCACCUGCCCCAGGGCUUCUUCGCCUGAGCCGGUGCCUUGCUGCCGCCCUGCUCAUCUCUUCUGGGAAGAUGCCUCUCAUCUUGCCAGUCCUCAAGCCAGAAGCCUCCGGUGCUGCCCUAGGGCUCCCUGAAUAGGCAUCCCUAAGGCAUCCCUCCUGGUGUUCAAACCACAUCCUUCCUGGCUAAGCUUCCAUUCCCCAGGGUAGCCCUCCACACUUUGGAGCCUCAGCUCACCUCUCACUCUCACACUUCAGUUUCACACUUCCCUUCUGAAUGGUCCCACCUCUGUGCUUUUGCUUAAGCUGUGCACACUUCCCAGAGUGCUCUUUCCCCUAUGUCUGCCUGUGCUCCAAUACCCUAUGCCUGAGCUGACCCAUGACAUACAAGCACCUACAGAGGCCUGGGGGAAGGAGGCAGUGGUAUGUGUGUCAGUGUGGGGAGUCAGUGAAGAGGUUUGGGGCUUUAGGGUCAGUUAUGUGACUUCAGGGCAAGUCCCCAUCUCCCUGAACCCCAGUUUCUGCAAAAUGAAGAUAUCCAUCCCAGCUUCUCCCAAGGUUUAUAAUGGUAAUCUGUGAGGUUCUGGCACAUGAUGAAUCCAUAACUACCCGUUGUGACAAGUUCCCCACUUGUGAAGUCAAAUGAAGACCCCCUGGUGUUGACAGUGCAGGAAAACCUGUGCCCGAGCACCUUGUCCCUAGGGAGAACCCUACCUUCAGUGCCUCUCUGAACAACAGGGCCAGGAAGGGGUCACUGUAUAGCAGUUGGUCCCUAGUGACCAGUCCUGGCAGAGGGCCUUUAUCCCACUUCCAGUAGCCCAGCACCAACCAUCCCCAGCUCUGGGAGGGGGUGGGCAGCACCCUCCUUCCUCCACAUUGUUGCCACCUCAGAGAGUCAGAAUCCAGGGAGACAGUCUCCUGGCAGCGGAGCUCCUGCUGCCCGCCAUGGGUGUCUGUGAUGCUGCCGUGCCCACUGGGGGCUGCAGGCACUCCAGCAUCAGGAUGGACUAAAUCUCGGGAGUGGGAAGGGGACUCCAGCCAGGGGCACUGGAGACAGGGCCAGCCUGAGUGCCUGCUUCUCCCAGGGGCAGGUGCCAGCAUGGUGCACCCCUCAAGGAGUGUGGCAGGUAAGAUUGAGGUCCUGGCUGCCCCAGGCUCCUGUGCCAUCGAGAGGGAAAGCACCUGGAACAGGUAUACAGUAGAUGCUUAGUGAUGAGGAGAAUCUUCACUUGGUGGAAUUCUGAACACUUUGGGUACCACCAGAGUCAGAAUUCCCAGAGGAGGAGGCAGGCAUUUGAUAACGGAUGUCUGGAGGAUAUAGCAUGUUCAACCUUCCCCUCUCCAUGAGAGGAAGUGGUGACCUCAACCCCAGCACCCUCCUCUGCCCAUUCACACCCACCCACUCCCACCUCUCUGCCAGCCUCAGUUGGAUGUGGAGCAGAAUGUAAUGAGGACUUACCUGUCCACAAGGACUUCACAACUGUUCCAAGGCGAUGGAUGGGCAGGUGCUAACGCAGCCCCUCAGUGUCCCCCUUCCCUUGCUUUUGGGGUGGGCUUGGGGCCCCCGGGGGGUCCUAACUCACUGAAGAUACCAGGGCCCAGCUUCUGAGUAUUCCUAGAGGCCAUUUCUACCCCUAGAAACUUUACAUGGAGCCAAAAGCCCAUUUGAAGCUCAGUCUGGGCCAGGAGAGGCUAAUCAUAAAAGGGAUAUUUUUUAAGUGUACAGAAAUAAGAAUUUAUUUUUGAAGACAUGAUUUAUAUUUUGAAUGGCUAAUGCACUCACAUGAUUCAAAAUUCAAAAUUCCAAAAGAACCGACAGUGCAAAGUCGCUCCUCCUUUGGUCCCCACCACCCAGUUUCCCUCUGCAGAGGGAACCUUGUUGCCAGUUCUUGUGUAUUCUUCCAGAGAUCUUCUAUGUAUAAACCGUCAUCCUCCUA